AUAUACAUGUACAAGGGCAUAUGGACCCAUACACACAAAUGAAUACAUAUUACAUACACCACAUAAACAAGAUAAACAAUGUUGAAAUUCCCAUUUUUGUUUGUCUUCUGGAAAAUUCUAGAAAGCCUCAAAAUCAUCAAUGAGUAACUGACAAAUAGUUCCAAGUGAAAAUGUUGGUAUCUAUAGGACCUUGCCUGAGUUUUGAAUAGUGUGUAGCUGAAAAUCAACGUAACUGAAUCAAUCAUGUACUAUAAAAACUUACACGUGAAAAAUUCCUCUGGGCUCUAGAAUCAUGAUUUUGGGUGUUACUGGGUUGCCCAUGAAAGAAGUUGUUCUAUCAGAAAAGGGCAAUCUGUCUAUACUCAUUUCUCCAUUCAUUUUGCAUGUUUUUUUGAUACCUUUUUAAAUUAAAUUAUUUAUUUACAUUCCAAAAGUUGCCCCACUUCCAGGAUUCCCCCUCCUCAAGUUCUUCACACCCUCAGGCCUUUGAGAAGGCUCUUUCCACCCACCCACCCACCCAUCUAUCCCCACCUUACCACUACCAGCAUCCCUCUUCCCUGGGGCAUCAAGUUUCCACAGGAUUAAGAUCAUACUCUCCCUGACUCCAUACAUGUGCCUGGGGAUACAAACCAGCCCACGUAUAUUCUCUGGUUUUUGGCUUAGUCUCUGGAAGUUCUGAGAGGUCUAGGUUAUUUGACCCUGUUGUUCUUCCUAUGGCAAGAACAUCCCCUUCAGCUGCUUCAGCCCUCCCUCUAACUCUUCCAUAUUGGUCCCUGAGCUCGAUCUAAUGGUUGGCUGAAAGUAUCUGCAUUUGUCUCAGUCAGUUGCUGGUAGAGCCCCUCAGAGGACAGCCAUGUCAGGUUCCUGUCUACACUCACAAUAUAGCCUCAGUAAUAGUGUCAGGAUUUUGUGUGUUCACCUGGGAUAGAUCCCAAAUUGGGUGGGUCACUGGAUGGCCUUUCUUUCAGUCUUUGCUCCAUUUUUGUCCCUGUGUUUCCUUUAGACAGGAACAAUUCUGUGUUAAAAUUUUUUAAGAUGGAUGGGUGGUCACUAGGGUCAACUGGGUGCCAUGUCUAUCUACUGGAGGUGAUCUCUUCAGAUUCCAUCUCCCCACUGUUGGGCAUUUCAGCUAAUGUCAUCCUCAUUGAGUCCUGGUAGCCUCCUACAUCCCUGGUGUCUGGAAUUUUCUAGAGAUUCCUCCUGCCCCUUAACCCCUACUGCUGCAUAUUUUGAUUCAUUCUCUUGGCUUCUGAGUGUCCCUCCUGUAUCUCCCCAUACCUGAACCUGCCCCUCCUUUCCCCUACCCACUCCCUCUCCUACCUAGUUUCCUCCCUCCCUCUGCCUCCCAUGAUUAUUUUGUCGUCCCCUCUCCCCCCCCCACCCCCCCCCCGUCUAAGUGGGUUUCAGGUAUCUACACUUGUACCUUCCUUCUUGUUAAGCUUCCUAUGAUCUGAGAGUUGUAUCAUAGGUUACCUCACUCAUGAUGACACUUUCUAGGGCCAUCCAUUUGCCUUCAAAAUUCAUGAAGUCUUCAUUUUAAAUAUCUGAAUAGUAUUCCAUUGUUUAAAUGAACUACAUUUUGCACUCUUAAGAUUGAAGCAUAUGGGAUCCUACCUGAGAAAAAAAUUAGUGUAGUGGGUGAAGCUUUUCUUUAAAAUGUUGCCUCGCCAGGCGUGGUGGCGCAUGCCUUUAAUCCCAGAGGCAGAGGCAGGCAGAUUUUUGAGUUUGAGGCCAGCCUGGUCUACAAAGUGAGUUCCAGGACAGCCAGGGCUACACAGAGAAACCCUGUCUCGAAAAACAAAACAAAACACAAAAAGAAAAAAGUAAAAAGUAAAAUGCUGCCUUUAUAAGUCUUUGGACAACUGAAUGUAUAUACUCCAUCAAGGAAAGGCAGGCAUCACAUGCUGUGGUUGAUUUAAAGUGGUAAUCUAAUAGGCAAGGGUGCAAGGACUGUAAAGCUGUCUAGAGAAGUCUGGAGCUGAUGGCAAUAACCAGACUCAAGAUAAUACAAGUCUACCAGCCAUUUCCUGGUUAAGACCCAUGCUUUCUUCCCAUAACUGGCCUAUAAUGAUUCAUAAGCUACAGAAUUAUACCAUCAGCCUGUCAUAUUUACAGAAUCUGAAUGUAACCAUUUAACCUUGGAAGAGAGAAGAUACCUCUGAAAUUAAGGACUUUCCCCCUUUACUUCAUAACCAGUAUAGCCUUUCAAUUGGCUGGUUGUAUAGCAUUUACAUUGUAGAAGAUAUUAAAUAGAAUUAAGAAUAUUGCACAUAUGAUAGAACAGGUGUACAGGUUAUAUGCCAAUACAAUCCAUUUAGAUAAACCAUUUGAACAUCUGGAGAUUUCUUAUCAUGGAAAAGACAUAGAAUCUGACUCAAGAACAGUGAGUGAGCAUAGGACUAAGGGAAUACAUGGAAAAUUCUCAAGGGAAUGCCUGAUGUAAGGCAUUAGUUAUAAAAGGCAAGUGUGUUUGGGAUUACGGAGAAACUAGACAAAUGAAUUAGGUCAAAUGGAAAGAUAGCAGGAGAUAAUAAAACUCUAUAUGUGAUGAUAGCUUGUAUGUAAUAUAUGAGUGAAAAAGCAAACAAAAGAGAAAAU
rnacentral:lncRNA from 1 species